CACAUUCAUAUACUUUGAAGGACAAUUUAUGGCUAUGAAACUAUUAAAAAUUCCAUUGAAGCCAGUCCAUACCCUGUUCUUCAGAACUAUUGUGCAAGUUGGCCACAUUUCUUUUUCUGAAUUUCUACAUGUAAUCUGUACAAUCUCAGCUGUCCAGAGGAUUAACAGAGGAUGUCCUGCAUUUCUUUCCUUUAAGGCAGCCCAUAGAUGGUGCUUUGGAAUGGAAUUUCCUCUGGUCAAAUAAACAGGACAAUGACAAGAGUAGAAGAGAGUUCUUUUCAUGAUUACAAUCAAUGUAAUUUUUACAAGCAAGGCUAUAAAGCACUUUCCCAACCUGGUGACUUCAAGAAGCAUUGAACUAUAACCUCAUCCCUCUCUACAACUCUCAGCUAGUAUAACUAAUAAUCACAGAGGAUGGGAGCUCCAACAAGGGACUCAAUUUUAGAAACUGCCCCCAAAAUGUAAGGUGUACACAAAACAUAUGGUUCAAAAUUUUGGACUCUAGGACACUUUUAUAAUGUGUGUACAUGGAGUGACAGUCAAAGAGUUCUUCUUAAAAAAUAAUAGUAAUGUAUUA